AUUCCUUCUGCACUGAGGCACAAAGAACCUGAACCUCAGUGAGUCCAGACACCAGGUGCAGCCUGCUUGGGCUUCCUCACAGCAUGGCGGCUGGAUUCUAAGUGUGAGCAUCCCAAGAGAACCAAGGUAAGGAAUGGGCUCACAUGGCUAUGGAAGCUGAGAAGUUCCACCAUCUGCCAUCUGUUAGCUGGAGAACCAGGAAAGCUGGUGGUGUGAUUCAGUGCAGUCUGAAGGCCUGAGGAUAUUGAUGGGGGCCUGGCGAUCCGGAGAGAUGUCUUGAGGGAUCUCCUGGAUUCCAGACCUUCUCUACUUCCGCUGUGGAGCAGCAGGUCCAUGUCCUCUUGGUAAUCAGAAUCCAUCACCCCAGCCAACACCAUAACUCCCUUAUUUGCCGGCUGAUUCAGAGGCUUGAGGAGCCCAUAGUGACCAGGUGGCCGUCUUAGCUUCCCCAUCAAAGGAAUCAUCGUGUGACACCUGGUGGAAGCAUUUGUCCCUCUGUAAGUAAGACCACUAGCCCAGCAGAGCAGACGGUCAUGGGACGAGGAAACAAACAUUUGGCUAGAGGGUCACGAAGGGGGUACUAGUGGAUGGUAUCGUUCUCACUUCCGCCCCUCGAUGCCUGGACCUUGAAUCUGGCAAGUGAGAAGCAGGAUCACAUAUUGGACUCCGAUGCAGAGCAUGUGCAGCCUUCUGAGAAUCUUGCAUCUGCCCUGCAAGGUAUUGCCAUCUAGCUGGUACCAUGACUGAGUCUUUUAUUUUGUUUUUUUUUAAGGCCACACCAGCAGCAAAUGCCCAGGGAUCACACCCAGCCACACUUGUGACUUGCCCACAACUGGGACAAUACCAGCUCCUUUAAUCCAGGGAUUGAACUCACACCUCCACAGUAACCUGAGACACUGCAGUGGACUAUUUCUUUCUUUCUUU